UACGUAGGGUGCAAGCGUUUGUCCGGAAUUAUUGGGCGUAAAGAGCUCGUAGGCGGUUUGUCGCGUCUGCUGUGAAAACCCGAGGCUCAACCUCGGGCCUGCAGUGGGUACGGGCAGACUAGAGUGCGGUAGGGGAGAUUGGAAUUCCUGGUGUAGCGGUGGAAUGCGCAGAUAUCAGGAGGAACACCAAUGGCGAAGGCAGGUCUCUGGGCUGUAACUGACGCUGAGGAGCGAAAGCGUGGGGAGCGAACAGGAUUAGAACCUCGUUAGUCA
rnacentral:rRNA from 1 species